GAUGAACGCUGGCGGCGUGCCUAAUACAUGCAAGUCGAACGAGUGGCGGACGGGUGAGUAAUGUCUGGGAAACUGCCUGAUGGAGGGGGAUAACUACUGGAAACGGUAGCUAAUACCGCAUCCCAUCGGCUGUGCCCAGAUGGGAUUAGCUAGUAGGUGGGGUAACGGCUCACCUAGGCGACGAUCCCUAGCUGGUCUGAGAGGAUGACCAGCCACACUGGAACUGAGACACGGUCCAUACUCCUACGGGAGGCAGCAGUGGGGAAUAUGGGACAAUGGGCGCAAGCCUGAUGCAGCCAUGCCGCGUGUAUGAAGAAGGCCUUCGGGUUGUAAAGUACUUUCAGCGGGGAGGCGGUACCCGCAGAAGAAGCACCGGCUAACUCCGUGCCAGCAGCCGCGGUAAUAC
rnacentral:rRNA from 1 species